rnacentral:rRNA from 1 species
GAUGAACGCUAGCGGCAGGCUUGAUACAUGCAAGUCGAGGGGCAGCAUGAGUAGCAAUACUUGAUGGCGACCGGCAAACGGGUGCGGAACACGUACGCAACCUUCCUUUAAGUGGAGAAUAGCCCGGGGAAACCCGGAUUAAUACUCCGUAACAUUAUGAUGUGGCAUCACUUUAUAAUUAUAGAUUUAUCGCUUAAAGAUGGGCGUGCGCCUGAUUAGGUAGUUGGCGGGGUAACGGCCCACCAAGCCUUCGAUCAGUAACUGGUGUGAGAGCACGACCAGUCACACGGGCACUGAGACACGGGCCCGACUCCUACGGGAGGCAGCAGUAAGGAAUAUUGGUCAAUGGACGCAAGUCUGAACCAGCCAUGCCGCGUGGAGGAUGAAGGUCCUCUGGAUUGUAAACUUCUUUUAUUUGGGACGAAAAAAGAUCAUUCCUGAUCACUUGACGGUACCAGAUGAAUAAGCACCGGCUAACUCCGUGCCAGCCGCCGCGGUAAGAC